rnacentral:tRNA from 1 species
UGGAUAUUAGUUAAUUCUAUAACAUUUAAAUUGCAUUUAUAAAUAAUAUAAUCACCAUAUAUAUAUAUCUAA